UACGUAGGGUGCAAGCGUUGUCCGGAAUUAUUGGGCGUAAAGAGCUCGUAGGCGGUUUGUCGCGUCUGCUGUGAAAACUCGGGGCUCAACCUCGGGCCUGCAGUGGGUACGGGCAGACUAGAGUGCGGUAGGGGAGAUUGGAAUUCCUGGUGUAGCGGUGAAAUGCGCAGAUAUCAGGAGGAACACCGAUGGCGAAGGCAG
rnacentral:rRNA from 1 species